GUUGAAACACCAGUCCCUGUACAAUCACAGAAGUUAAGCAACAUCAAGCCUGGUCAAUACGUAGAUGGGUGACCACUUGAGAGUACUAGGUGCUGUAAG